rnacentral:rRNA from 1 species
AGGAUAAACGCUGGCGGCGUGCUUAAUACAUGCAAGUCGAGCGGCAGCAUGCACUUCGGUGUGAUGGCGAGCGGCGGACGGCUGAGUAACGCGUAGGAAUAUACCCCAAAGUGAGGGAUAACUGCCCGAAAGGGUAGCUAAUACCGCAUGUGGUCUUCGGAUUAAAGCUUUAUGCGCUUUGGGAAUGGCCUGCGUACGAUUAGCUUGUUGGUGAGGUAAUGGCUCACCAAGGCGAUGAUCGUUAGCUGGUCUGAGAGGAUGAUCAGCCAGACUGGGACUGAGACACGGCCCAGACUCCUACGGGAGGCAGCAGUAGGGAAUUUUCCACAAUGGACGAAAGUCUGAUGGAGCAACGCCGCGUGCAGGAUGAAGGCCUUUGGGUUGUAAACUGCUUUUCUCUGUGAGGAAUAUGACAGUAGCAGAGGAAUAAGGAUCGGCUAACUCCGUGCCAGCAGCCGCGGUAA